rnacentral:rRNA from 1 species
AGUUUGAUCCUGGCUCAGGAUGAACGCUGGCGGUAUGCUUAACACAUGCAAGUCGAACGGAAAGGCCCUGCUUUUGUGGGGUGCUCGAGUGGCGAACGGGUGAGUAACACGUGAGUAACCUGCCCUUGACUUUGGGAUAACUUCAGGAAACUGGGGCUAAUACCGGAUAGGAGCUCCUGCUGCAUGGUGGGGGUUGGAAAGUUUCGGCGGUUGGGGAUGGACUCGCGGCUUAUCAGCUUGUUGGUGGGGUAGUGGCUUACCAAGGCUUUGACGGGUAGCCGGCCUGAGAGGGUGACCGGCCACAUUGGGACUGAGAUACGGCCCAGACUCCUACGGGAGGCAGCAGUGGGGAAUAUUGCACAAUGGGCGGAAGCCUGAUGCAGCAACGCCGCGUGCGGGAUGACGGCCUUCGGGUUGUAAACCGCUUUCGCCUGUGACGAAGCGUGAGUGACGGUAAUGGGUAAAGAAGCACCGGCUAACUACGUGCCAGCAGCCGCGGUGAUACGUAGGGUGCGAGCGUUGUCCGGAUUUAUUGGGCGUAAAGGGCUCGUAGGUGGUUGAUCGCGUCGGAAGUGUAAUCUUGGGGCUUAACCCUGAGCGUGCUUUCGAUACGGGUUGACUUGAGGAAGGUAGGGGAGAAUGGAAUUCCUGGUGGAGCGGUGGAAUGCGCAGAUAUCAGGAGGAACACCAGUGGCGAAGGCGGUUCUCUGGGCCUUUCCUGACGCUGAGGAGCGAAAGCGUGGGGAGCGAACAGGCUUAGAUACCCUGGUAGUCCACGCUGUAAACGGUGGGUACUAGGUGUGGGGUCCAUUCCACGGGUUCCGUGCCGUAGCUAACGCUUUAAGUACCCCGCCUGGGGAGUACGGCCGCAAGGCUAAAACUCAAAGGAAUUGACGGGGCCCCGCACAAGCGGCGGAGCAUGCGGAUUAAUUCGAUGCAACGCGUAGAACCUUACCUGGGUUUGACAUGGAUCGGGAGUGCUCAGAGAUGGGUGUGCCUCUUUUGGGGUCGGUUCACAGGUGGUGCAUGGCUGUCGUCAGCUCGUGUCGUGAGAUGUUGGGUUAAGUCCCGCAACGAGCGCAACCCUUGUUCACUGUUGCCAGCACGUUAUGGUGGGGACUCAGUGGAGACCGCCGGGGUCAACUCGGAGGAAGGUGGGGAUGACGUCAAGUCAUCAUGCCCCUUAUGUCCAGGGCUUCACGCAUGCUACAAUGGCUGGUACAGAGAGUGGCGAGCCUGUGAGGGUGAGCGAAUCUCGGAAAGCCGGUCUCAGUUCGGAUUGGGGUCUGCAACUCGACCUCAUGAAGUCGGAGUCGCUAGUAAUCGCAGAUCAGCAACGCUGCGGUGAAUACGUUCCCGGGGCUUGUACACACCGCCCGUCAAGUCAUGAAAGUUGGUAACACCCGAAGCCGGUGGCCUAACCGUUGUGGGGGAGCCGUCGAAGGUGGGACUGGUGAUUAGGACUAAGUCGUAACAAGGUAGCC